rnacentral:lncRNA from 1 species
ACUUUUCUCAUUGCCAUCCAAAAAUAGCUUGCUUUUCUAAUUAGUUACUUUCUCUCUAUAUAAAAACAGUAGACUCAUAAACAUUUCUUUUUUUUUAAUUUUUUUAAAUUUUUAUUUAUUUAUGAUAGUCACACAGAGAGAGAGAGAGGCAGAGACACAGGCAGAGGGAGGAGCAGGCUCCAUGCACUGGGAGCCCGAUGUGGGAUUCGAUCCCGGGUCUCCAGGAUCGCGCCCUGGGCCAAAGACAGGCGCUAAACCACUGCGCCACCCAGGGAUCCCAAAAACAGUAGACUCAUAAUAAAAAAAUUCAACCAAUGACAGAAAAAUUAAGUAACAGACAAAAGCACCCACCUCUUACUUUUCCAGUCAUUACCCAGCCGGAACCAAGAUGAAGUCUCUUGUGUAUCCUUCCAAAAUUGUUCUGUCCCCACAAAGAAACCAGAAAAUAAAGCUGUCAACAACAAACUCUCUUCCAGCAAGAUGGAAGUGCAUAAACCUCAGAGAUGUUCGAAGGCCUUUCUUCUUUUCUUGCUGGGAAAAGCUCUCCUCUCACCAGGAAGGUUGUGGAUGGUGCCAAUCGGGAGUGAUGAUCAUCACAGAUGGGCAGGCCUUGAACCUCCACAUCUGGAGGUCAAACUGGACCAAAGGUCGAGGAGCCAGGAGGCACACAGGCUCCCAAAUGAGCUUGGACAUGAGCACCAGGCCCUAGAAAUUUCUAGACAAUCACUAGAAGGUAGGGGCCAGAAGAGUCAUACAAAUGGAUUAUCAGAGGGAUCCCUGGGUGGCGCAGCGGUUUGGCGCCUGCCUUUGGCCCAGGGCGCGAUCCUGGAGACCCGGGAUCAAAUCCCACAUCAGGGGAUCCCUGGGUGGCGCAGCGGUUUGGCGCCUGCCUUUGGCCCAGGGCGCGAUCCUGGAGACCCGGGAUCGAAUCCCACAUGGGGCUCCCGGUGCAUGGAGCCUGCUUCUCCCUCUGCCUGUGUCUCUGCGCCUCUCUCUCUCUCUGUGACUAUCAUAAAUAAAUAA